rnacentral:rRNA from 1 species
GGGAAACUGGAGAUAAUUCCGAAUAGGUCAAAUAUGCUGGAAUGCUUUUUGGCCAAAAGACCUCGGUUGCCUAAGGAUGGAUCUGCGGUCUAUCAGGUUGUAGUGGGUGUAACGUACCUACUAGCCUACGACGGAUAUGGGUUGUGAGAGCAAGAGCCCAGAGAUGGAUUCUGAGACAUGAAUCCAGGCCCUACGGGGCGCAGCAGGCGCGAAAACUUUACAAUGCGGGAAACCGCGAUAAGGGGACACCGAGUGCCAGCAUUUAUGUUGGCUGUCCACAUGUGUAAACGGCAUGUGUUAGCAAGGGCCGGGCAAGACCGGUGCCAGCCGCCGCGGUAACACCGGCGGCCCGAGUGGUAAUCACUUUUAUUGGGUCUAAAGGGUCCGUAGCCGGUUUGAUCAGUUCUUCGGGAAAUCUGACAGCUCAACUGUUAGGCUUCCGAGGAAUACUGUCAGACUUGGGACUGGGAGAGGUAAGAGGUACUACAGGGGUAGGAGUGAAAUCUUGUAAUCCCUGUGGGACCACCAGUGGCGAAGGCGUCUUACCAGAACAGGUCCGACGGUGAGGGACGAAAGCUGGGGGCACGAACCGGAUUAGAUACCCGGGUAGUCCCAGCCGUAAACGAUGUUCGCUAGGUGUCAGGGGCGGUGCGACCGCUUCUGGUGCCGUAGGGAAGCCGUGAAGCGAACCACCUGGGAAGUACGGCCGCAAGGCUGAAACUUAAAGGAAUUGGCGGGGGAGCACUACAACGGGUGGAGCCUGCGGUUUAAUUGGACUCAACGCCGGAAAACUCACCGGGGGCGACAGCAAGAUGUAGGUCAAGCUAAAGACUUUACCUGAAUCGCUGAGAGGAGGUGCAUGGCCGUCGUCAGUUCGUACUGUGAAGCAUCCUGUUAAGUCAGGCAACGAGCGAGACCCA